rnacentral:rRNA from 1 species
AGUCGAACGAAGUAGCAAUACUUAGUGGCAGACGGGUGAGUAACAUGUGGGUAUCUACCCUUUGGCCUGGAAUAACACGAGGAAACUUGUGCUAAUACCGGAUAAGCCCUUACGGGGAAAGUUUUAAUGCCAAAAGAUGAGCCCGCAUUUGAUUAGCUAGUUGGUGAGGUAAAAGCUCACCAAGGCGAUAAUCAAUAGCUGUUCUUAGAGGAAGACCAGCCACAUUGGGACUGAGACACGGCCCAAACUCC